CUCCGGUUGAUCCUGCCGGACCCGACUGCUAUCAGAGUGAGAUUAAGCCAUGCGAGUUAACGUAGCAAUACGUGGCGCACGGCUCAGUAACACGUAGUCAACAUGCCCAGAGGACGUGGAUAACCUCGGGAAACUGAGUCUAAACCGCGAUAAGUGAGGAUUUCUGGAAUGGUUCCUGACUAAAAUCUAUAUGGCCUCUGGAUUGGACUGCGGCCGAUCAGGCUGUUGGUGAGGUAAUGGCCCACCAAACCUGUAACCGGUACGGGCUCUGAGAGGAGGAGCCCGGAGAUGGGCACUGAGACAAGGGCCCAGGCCCUAUGGGGCGCAGCAGGCGCGAAACCUCUGCAAUAGGCGAAAGCCUGACAGGGUUACUCUGAGUGACUUUCGCUAAGAAAGUCUUUUGGCACCUCUAAAAAGGGUGCAGAAUAAGGGGUGGGCAAGUCUGGUGUCAGCCGCCGCGGUAAUACCAGCACCCCGAGUGGUCGGGACGAUUAUUGGGCCUAAAGCAUCCGUAGCCGGUUCUGCAAGUCCCCCGUUAAAUCCAGCUGCUCAACAGAUGGGCCGCGGAGGAUACUACAGAGCUAGGAGGCAGGAGAGGCAAGCGGUACUCAGUGGGUAGGGGUAAAAUCCGUUGAUCCAUUGAAGACCACCAGUGGCGAAGGCGGUCCGCCAGAACGCGCUCGACGGUGAGGGAUGAAAGCUGGGGGAGCAAACCGGAUUAGAUACCCGGGUAGUCCCAGCUGUAAACGAUGCAGACUCGGUGAUGGGUUGGCCUCGCGCCUGCCCAGUGCCGCAGGGAAGCCGUUAAGUCUGCCGCCUGGGGAGUACGGUCGCAAGACUGAAACUUAAAGGAAUUUGGCGGGGGAGCA
rnacentral:rRNA from 1 species